AGUGAACGCUGGCGGUAGGCCUAACACAUGCCAGUCGAACGGCAGCACAGUAAGAGCUUGCUCUUACGGGUGGCGAGUGGCGGACGGGUGAGGAAUACAUCGGAAUCUACUUUUUCGUGGGGGAUAACGUAGGGAAACUUACGCUAAUACCGCAUACGACCUACGGGUGAAAGCAGGGGAUCUUCGGACCUUGCGCGAUUGAAUGAGCCGAUGUCGGAUUAGCUAGUUGGCGGGGUAAAGGCCCACCAAGGCGACGAUCCGUAGCUGGUCUGAGAGGAUGGUCAGCCACACUAGAACUGGGACACGGUCCAGACUCCUACGGGAGGCAGCAGUGGGGAAUAUUGGACAAUGGGCGCAAGCCUGAUCCAGCCAUACCGCGUGGGUGAAGAAGGCCUUCGGGUUGUAAAGCCCUUUUGUUGGGAAAGAAAAGCAGCAGGUUAAUACCCCGCUGUUCUGACGGUACCCAAAGAAUAAGCACCGGCUAACUUCGUG
rnacentral:rRNA from 1 species